AUUGAACGCUGGCGGCAUGCCUUACACAUGCAAGUCGAACGGCAGCACGGGGCAACCUGGUGGCGAGUGGCGAACGGGUGAGUAAUGCAUCGGAACGUACCUUUCAGUGGGGGAUAACGUAGCGAAAGUUACGCUAAUACCGCAUAUUCUGUGAGCAGGAAAGCAGGGGAUCGCAAGACCUUGCGCUGAUUGAGCGGCCGAGGUCAGAUUAGCUAGUUGGUGAGGUAAAGGCUCACCAAGGCGACGAUCUGUAGCGGGUCUGAGAGGAUGAUCCGCCACACUGGAACUGAGACACGGUCCAGACUCCUACGGGAGGCAGCAGUGGGGAAUUUUGGACAAUGGGGGCAACCCUGAUCCAGCCAUGCCGCGUGAGUGAAGAAGGCCUUCGGGUUGUAAAGCUCUUUCGGCCGGGAAGAAAUCGCACGGGCUAAUACCCUGUGUGGAUGACGGUACCGGAAUAAGAAGCACCGGCUAACUACGUGCCAGCAGCAGCCGCAGUAA
rnacentral:rRNA from 1 species